rnacentral:tRNA from 2 species
GGAACGGUAGCUCAGUUGGUAGAGCAAAGGACUGAAAAUCCUUGUGUCGGCGGUUCGAUUCCGCCCCGUUCCA